rnacentral:rRNA from 1 species
AACGAACGCUGGCGGCAUGCCUAACACAUGCAAGUCGAACGGGAUCCUAGCUUGCUAGGUGAGAGUGGCGGACGGGUGAGUAACACGUGGGAAUCUGCCUUUUUGGUUCGGGAUAACCGCGGGAAACUGCGGCUAAUACCGAAUGCCCUCGAGAGAGGAAAGAUUUAUCGCCAGAAGAGGAGCCCGCGUCCGAUUAGGUAGUUGGUGGGGUAAAGGCCUACAAGCCGACGAUCGGUAGCUGGUCUGAGAGGAUGAUCAGCCACACUGGGACUGAGAUACGGCCCAGACUCCU